rnacentral:tRNA from 1 species
GCUCCCAUGGCGUAGUGGUCACUGCGCUCGCCUUGCACGCGGGAUAUCCGGGUUCGAUUCCCGGCGGGGUCA